rfam:Tetraodon nigroviridis, WGS project CAAE01000000 data, contig: CNS0BVIL, chromosome: undetermined
UCCCUGGUGGUCGAGUGUUCAGGAUUCAGCGCUUUCACCGUUGAGGCCCGGGUUUGAUUCCCGGUCAGGGAA